ACAGAUCCAGUGUCUUUUUUUGACAUUUUCUUAAUUCUUUAUACCUAAUCAUCAAGUCUGGAUCCAUGAGCAUAUUUUCCCAUCAAUGCCAUCGAAUAUUUUGUGCACGAGCAUCUUUAACCUUAUUUUUGGAAAGAUGAGCCAGUCCUGCUGUAUUUGUGUUAAUAAUUAUUUUCUGCCCUCGUGCCAGACCUUUCAACUCGGAAUAUCUUUUACUGAGGGCUGCAAGUUGCUUUUCCACAGGAGUAAAUUUAGUUUCUGGAUUUUCCCAACUACCCGACAUAAUUCUAAUAGACCAUCCUUCCGUACUAGCAACUCGCUGGGCCGAUGGGGAGCGACUUGCUGACCUCAUUUGUCCAUCUCUCGAGAGGAGCUAAUUAGAGCACAACAGACCAAUGAUACACGUAAGUUUUUAUUUUUUGCAGCAAGGUCCAACAGGGGUUCUGAUGAUCUUUCUUCAUUGUAUUUUCUUUUAGAUGGUCUUCUUUGUAGGAAGGGGAUCAUGCAUAAGGGUAUGGUGGAACCUAAAAUUUAGAUUGUAGUUCCUCUGCCGUAGGUUGAGAUAUGUCAGCAAGCUCUUGAAAAUUGAAAGCUCCAAAUUUUGAGAAGUCUUUCCGGCUUGCAAUUGAUGCUAGCACUUGCGGUGCAGGUGCUGUUCUCUUGCAAGAGGAUUUAAACGGAGUUAACCAUCCUGUUAGUUAUUUUUCAAAGAAAUUCAACUGUCAUCAACAGGUUUACUCAACUAUUGAAAAGGAAGCCCUUGCCCUUGUGUUGGCUAUACAACAUUUCGAAGUAUAUUUGGGUUCAAUUACUGCCCCAGUUAUUGUUUAUACAGAUCAUAGCCCUCUGUUUUUUUUUUUUUUAAAUCGCAUGAGGAAUCGAAACCAAUGACUUGUGCAGUGGAGUCUUAUUUUACAGCCUUUCCACCUGGAGAUUCAGCAUGUGCGAGGGAAAGAUAACGUAAUCGCUGACGCUCAUUCUAGAACGUAAUAUCAUGAUGUCUCUGCAUGUUUUUUUCUUCUUUCUUCUUUUUGCAUCUCUAGGGCCCAGAGGUGGAGUGAGAGGUGCUUCAUGAACAGAUGGACCAUAUUUUUGAUUUUUGUAUUCUUUCAUAUUUUGCUUUUGUUUUCCGUCUUUUUCUCUUUGUUUCUUUGCAGAAUCUUUUUGAGGAGGGAGGUGUUACGACCCUGUCUUUUCCUUCUUCGCCUGGUGGUGGCAGUGUGGCAUCUGGAUGUGACGUCAAUGUUAAAUUGGAUAAUUUAUGGGAGGAGAGUAAAAUAUCUGGCUGAUCUACCCAAUAAUACUUCCUCUGGUAGAUCUCAAACAUAUUCUCAGAACUAUAUAAUUUUCAAAAUCAAUAUUUCGAGCGCUAACAGCUUCACCAGAUCCAUCCAGUGACAGUGACAGUCAUAUUUGAUUGCGUUUAGUACUUGCUCUGCAGUAAAUCACUGAGCCAUUUCAUGUUUUUCUUAAUAUUUCGUUUUCUGUCUAAAUGAGUCGUCACUUCAGCAUUGUGUACCAGACAUUGCCACCUUGUGGAAUAAAGGUGAAUUGCACUUAUUCUGUCAUCUAAGACAGUGUUUCCCAACCCUGUUCCUGGAGGCACACCAACAGUACAUAUUUUCCAACUAUUCCUAAUUAAACACACCUGACUCAACUCAUCAGCUUGUUAGCAGAAACUCCAAGAGCAGAAAUAUAUGGUUCAGAUUAAGGAGACAUUCAAAAUGUGUACUGUUGGUGUGCCUCCAGGAACAGGGUUGGGAAACACUGAUCUAAGAUUUGAUUAUUGUUGUGCAGAAAAAAUAUACGUACACUGAUACAUACUUUGGGUCGUUAGCGACCCUAUACAAUUUUUACAAAAAAUGAAUUCAAAAAUAGGCAUUAUUUUAUAAUUUUAUGAUUUUUUUCUUGUUAUAUUCUUUAAAAUGAAUUCAUUGAGGAAUACCAAGAAGGUUGAACUCUAACUUUAAAAAAUGAAUGAGGAGGAGGGUAGUGAAUGACGUUCCGGGUCACUAAAGGAUUAAUGGCAAAAAGAAAGUUUGGAAAUGUGAACUGAUAUUUCCUACAGCAAAAUAUAUAAAGAACUGGCUUAAAACCAUUUUGUGGUAAAAAUACUGACGUGUCUAAGACUUUUGCACAGUACUGUAUAUCCGUUGUCUCCAUGUUUCUCUGAACACUCACCUGAUCAGUUUCAGAGCAGAUCUUCUUCAUCAUCUCCUCUUUCUCUCGUUCAUAUUCCUCUCUCCACUCCACUCGUCUUCUCUUCAGUUCUUCUUCAUGCUGUUCUUCAAGGAGUUUCAGUGUUUCUUCAGAAGUCUUUUGUUGAUCUUCUCUCAUGUUUCUUUCUUCUGUCAGUCUCUUCUCUAAAUCCUCUAGUUGUUCUCAUCUCUUUCUUUCUAUUCUCUCUUUCUCUGAUUAUUCCCUCCAUUUCACUCUUCAGUCUCUGAAUCUGUUCAUCACUAAUCUGUUUUUCUUUCUCUCUUCUUUUCUCAUCUUCUUCUCUUCUCGUAUUUUCCUCCAGUUUCUGUUUCUCCCAUUCCUCUCGUUCUCUCUUCAUCUCCUCACAUCUUUUCCUCACUCUCGUCUUUCUCUAUUAUUUCUCUUUUAUAUUGUUCUUCUCUCUCAUGAAAUUCUUCUUCUCUUUCUCUCUCGUUGUCAUGAUUCUCUCGUUCUUCCUCCAUCAUUAUUUUCAGUCUCUCUUUCUCUCUAAUUAUUCCCUCCAUUUCACUCUUCAGUCUCUGAAUCUGUUCAUCAUAAAUGUGUUUUUCUCUCUCUGUCCUUUUCUUCUCUUCUUCUCUUCUUGACUUUUCCUCCAGUUUCUGUUGGUCCCAUUCCUCUUGUUCUCUUCUCAUCUGUAUAUUAUAUCGCUCUUCUCUUUCUGUAUAUUCCUCUUCUCUUCUCUUUCUUUCUUUGUCUUGAUUCUGUCUUUCUUCCUCCAUCAUCAUCUUCAUUUUCUCUUUCUCUUCUUCUAGUUUAUCCAUCAGUUCUUCUUUUUCUCUGACUCUGUCCAUCAGGAUCUUCAUCUGUUGUUCUUGUUUUUCUCUUUCCAUCUGUCUGAACAUCUUACAUGAGUAGAAACUCCCUCCGUUUGCUUCCACCAUGUUGUCUAUCUUCUCCAGUAGAUCAGACACCUGUGUUCGGUCUCCAGGCUGGUUAUUAUUGAACACAUGGAAUCUAUUUCCACACGCUUUUGUGGCGUUACGAACUAGUAAAUUAUACAGACUACGCCACCCGGAGGCUAUUUCCGGGACUGCCCUCAACAUUAACCCUCUGGGGUCUGAGGAUUUUUGGGGCCCUGGAGAAGUUUUGACAUGCCCUGACAUUUGUGCUUUUUUCAGUUGUUCAUAAACAUAUUAAUGGAAAAAGUGUCAUUACACUGUAUUCAGCACAAACUAGGCUACAAUAAUAUGUGAGGACGAUCGUAUGCUCCUAGGACCAGCCAAGACUGAUCACACCGGUGUGAUCGUACGCGUCAAAGGGUUAAAUGAGGAGUAUGCUACCUAACUAAUCUUUUAUUAUGCUCGCUGUGCGUCGGUUAUGUUGUGAUGCGCUAUGAUAUCGCGGGGCAAAUUAAUUGCAAUAUUAAUUUAAUAAUAAAAGUAGCAUUAUAAUAAGAAGAAUAAUUUAAUACCACACGCUGUAUGCCACAGUGAAGGGAUAAACAGCUUUCAGACACGGCAUCAAAACGAUUACCUGUUUUAUCCAAAUCCACAUGCGUGGACUGUUCAAUAUUCAGUACUGCAAUGUCCGAGUCUCUCCUGUCUCAUGAUGUUUCUCAUGUGUCUUCAGUCAGCACAAGCGAGAAACGUUUACUAGACUGUGGACUAGCUCUGCUCUAUGAACAAUGGCAGCCUGCAGCCGAAUUUUUGUGACCACUGACGGUGCGCCGAACGCGUCUUUCCGCGCUCACGGGCAAAGAAUUAUCUUUGAAAGACUCACACACUUACCUGUGCGCGAGACGGAGUGGAACACGGGAAAUGACGUAUACCCGGGCCUUAACCGCUCCACAUUGUAGUGGACUGGAGCUGACGGAUCACAUUGGGAAAAAUCCUCCCCCCAGUGUUAUUAUGUCCUGACAUGUAGUUUUAACUGUUUUCUGGCAAGAAUGUACUGGUUUAAAACAGUAGUAUGUUUAAAUUACACAGCUUUUCUCCUCUCCUAUUGAUGCUUGCUGGUUGGUGCGAGAUGCAUUCUAGGAUACCUGGCUGUGUCAAGUCCGCACAAGUCACCUCUCGAUGCAUCCUCGAUAUUGAAUUGGAUCAGUACUUAUUGGGCAGUGACAGAUGAAGUUUCACAAGAACAAACAAGAACGCAUAUUAAAAAAAUGGACCCACUUUAUAUUAACUGGCCUUAACUACUAUGUACUUACAUUUAAAUUAAUCAUUUGAUACAAUGCACUUAUUGUGUAGAUACAUGUUUCUACAUUGUACUUAUAUUUUAAAACACCUGCAUGUAAUUACAUCUGUAAUUACACUGUUGAUCCAUCCCAUAACCCUUAGCCCCAACCCUUAAACCUACCAAUACCACCAAAGCUUUCCCUAACCUACCCGUACCCCACCUCAAUAGCAGCAAAAGUGUUUUGCAAUUCAAUAUGAACCCAAUAAGUACAUUGUACUUAUUUUUUUUGAUGUAAGUACAUAGUAGUUAAGGCCACUUAAUAUAAAGUGGGACCAAAAUGGAUAACUAAUGAAUGACUAAGGCAUUUAUAUAGCACUUUACUAUGUACUACAUCCUAAGUGCUUCACAAUCACAUCAGGGGUCACUCCUCAUUCACAACCUGGAUAAUUCAACAGCAGCCACAGAGCAACAGUGCCAAGAUCAAAUCUGUGGUUUACUGAUAACGAUAGCGCCUGUUUGAAAAUUUGAUGUGACGUUGUUGGAGUUGUGAGAUCCAGACGCUGGCUCUGAUUUCUCUGUUGUGGUUAAACAUGAGAUAUAAUCUUUUGUAUAUAUAACAGGGGAUUUUUGGUAAAGAGAUAAAGUUGAUCCAAAUAUGUUAAAAGAGUAGAAAUAAAAUGGCUGCAGCAAAACUAGAGAUCGAUUCCCAUCAAUUCAAUGACUUGACAUUCAUUAGCAGUUUUCACUAUAAAACAUGAAACAAUCACACAAAUGAACAAAAAAUCGCUCAGGUCUGAAUGAAUUCAACAUAUUUUCUUCACAUGCUGCACUAAAUGUUUAUUUCAGCAGGAAAGACGACAGAAAAGACGCACAAGUAUCGCUGACAAAACAUCUGUAAAAAUAACAUAAUCACUCACUCUGUGGUAAGAUCAUUUCAGUUUAUUUUGGAAAAAGUGUUGUUUAAAGUUCAUAGUAACUGUUUGGACUUCAUGAAGCCUCGUGGUGUGAAUGAACAUCAAACUGACUAGAACAAACUCUUUGAUAUAUGAUAGGCUAUUGGAUAUCAGGGGUGAAUCUUUUAAUAUGUCAGAUUGUUUUGCAGUGUGUACUUUGAUCAACACCUUUAACCAUAUUAUUUAUUAUUCUCAGGUUAGGUAAAGUAAGUCGAGUCUGGCCUAAAUUAUAAGCAUUUUAAAUGACUUACAAUUUGGUCAGAAUACUUCUCUGUGUAUGUUCUUGUUCAAAGUCUUAAAAUAUUAUAAAUGAAGACUCAGUAGGCAGUUUUUGUAAUCAAUUAUUUCUGACGUAUCAGUGUUUUAAGCUUCUUCUUGAUUGAAAAUGUAACUUUCUCAAAGUUUCCCAGAUCCUUCUCAAGGUCUCACAGCAUUUCUAAGCUAAUCAAAGUGAGUUACGAGAACAUUCUUGCAAUAGACAAAACAGUCACCACAGAAAAACCAGCAACAGUGGCACUAAGACAUAACUACCCAUGAAAACCAGCCUCCAACAACUGCAACAAACAUACUUUAACAGAUCAGCCAAAGACUCAGACACACUAAAACAAGGUGACUGUGAGAAUACAAGCAUUCGAGCCUCAUAAGAUCUGGAGAAAGGACACAGUGGUGAAGCCCAUCGACUCGAGAUCCUACAGUGUCCAGCUGGAUUCUGGAGGUGUUAAAAGGAGAAACAGGGAUCAUGAAAUGACCCUAGAGACUCUGACCAAACAGAGACUGUUGAUCCUGACAACACAAAAAAAUACUGAAACUGCAGAAGCUCAGUCACAACUCACCAUUGUUUUGAUGUUUGGAGUGAGAAGAACUGUUACUGAAUGGCUCAUAUUAUUAAAAUAUAUGAUCCUGCUAAAUACUUUACAUUGAGCCUAUAAUGAGCCAUGAGAUAGUUUAAAUCUGUACUUCAAUGUUAACAGAGAUAAAUAUGAACAGAUUGAUACUGGAAAGAUUAAAUAUUGCUUUGUGCUGCUCUUUAUUUUUAAAGGUUUUAUGAUCAUUGUCAGUUUCUGCACAUACAAAACUGCAACAUGUUAAUGAUUUAAUUACUUUAUUGAAAUUAAUGCAGUUAUCACAAAACCAGACUAUAUUUAGAUUCAUAUGUACAUAUUAUGUGCUGUAGUUAUUUAGCUGUAGAGGUUGAUGAAGAUGAGUGUCAUUUGUGUUUUUGUAUUAUGUUGUAUAUGUGUCAUAUUGUAAGAAAUAGCAGUAUUGUCUUUCAGUAGAGCAGUUUUAUGGUCUUUUCUCAUAUAUCCUGACUCAAAUAAUCAGUUUCUAACAGCAAACACUCAGAAUAAAGUGAGAUGAUCUGAAUGUCUUGUUGAAUGAGUGUUGAUAGUCUGAGGAUCAUCAAUAUUAACAGAGAAACUGCUGAAAACACUCUUUAUUUCAUGUCAAUAGUUCCUGUUUUCACCUCAUUUAUUAUGUUGAUGUAUUCAGAUCUGCUGUAAAUUGACACUUAAAGCUCAUUUCAUUGCUGUCAACAGACUGAGGGGAUUUGAUGACUACAAAUAUCUACAUUUAUUUCUGUCUUCGUGCUUCAUCUGUUUUUCUUACCUUUAUUUAUAUUUGGAAGAAUUUACAUUAUUUAUAUUCUGUUAUCAAGACAUCAAUAUAAAACACACUUAGUAACUGAUAUAUGUUUUAUUUAGGCAGAUCAGCUCCUCCUAGUGCAGUUCAUCAUCAGUGAAGCUCCUCCUACUGCAAUCACAUCAUCAGUGAAGCUCCUCCCACUGUAGUUCAUCAUCAGUGAAGCUCCUCCCACAUCACUCACAUCAUCAGUGAAGCUCCUCCCACAUCAGUUCUCCAAUAAAUGCAGGAAUAUUCCCAUCAGAGGAGCAUCAGAGCAUCAGGAAGAGCUGAAAUCUGCAAAGACUGAGUUUAUUAAAGAGGACAGUGAGAACAUGAGUGAUCCAGAACCCUGCAGAAUGAAACACACUGAAGAUACUGAAGAACAAAGAGAGCUGAUGGAAGUGAAGGAGAGUGAAGAACUGAGUGAAGUGGAGGAGAAACAUCAUGACAAAACUGGAGAAAAACCUUUGAGUCGCUCAAAGACUAAAAAGACAUUUUUAAAGAAAAGAAGAGCCAAGAAAUCUACAACCUGCACUCAGUGUGGAAAGAGUUUCACAUACAAAAGUCAUCUUGAUGUUCACAUGAGGAUCCACACUGGAGAGAAGCCGUUCACAUGUAAUGAAUGCAGCAAAACAUUUCUCAGGGCAUCAAACCUGAAGGAACACCUGAGAGUUCAUACAAAGGAGAAGCCACAUUCAUGUUCUGUGUGUGGAAAGAGUUUUUCACGGCUGCAAAAUUUACAAGAACAUGAGAAAACACACACUGGUGUGAGAGAGUACAUGUGCUUUGAGUGUGAGAAGACUUUUAUUUCAGCAAACAAUUUAAAACUGCACCAGAGAAUUCACACUGGAGAAAAACCUUACAAGUGUUCAUACUGUGACAAGAGAUUCAUUCAGUCAUCAUCUCUGAAAAAACAUGAGAGGAUCCACAGCAGAGAGAAGCCGCACACGUGUGAUCAGUGUGGAAAGAGUUUCUCUAUUAAAACUCACCUGAAGAUACACAUUGUUAUAUUUAUCCUUUUAAUAUAACAUGAAUAAUACGCUGAGACGAUUGCCGUGUUAACUCACUUGUUUUACUGGGAACUCCGGCUUCUUUUGUUACUCCAACACAACAUACAAGGGAAUGAACUAGAGCGCCCUCUAGUGCAUAGAAACAUUAAGUGCAUAUAUCACACACAUGAAGAUCCAUGCAGUGGAGAAACCACAUCACCACAGUCUGAGAUUACGACAUAAAAGAACCUGAAGCAUUAUUUCUGUAUAGUCCUUCUGUUUCUGACAAACGAUGGAUCUGCAAGUCUCCGUUGUUCUUCUUUUCAUUUUUCUCACUGGAGGAUAUUCUCUCAAGUGUUACUCGUGCACAUCUGAGUUGACGGGCUCCUGUGAACUGAAAGUGGAGACAUGUCCAGAUGGAAAUUUUAAAUGUGCAAGCGGUACGGUAGAACAAUCCAUUGGGUCCUCUAAGGUGUCUAUCACAACUAAAGGGUGCGCAGCUGGAUGUGAACCAGGGACUGUACAGCUACCAACCGGAGGGACAGUGACUAAUCGCUGCUGUGACACUGAUCUUUGCAAUGCAGCAGACGGAGUGUAUAAGGGAAGCCUCCUCCUGCUCUUGUCUCCUCUGCUCUUCUACCUCCUGUUUCAGUGAAUCCAGAUGAACUUCAGAUUCUACAGCAAAGACCAGCAGAAACUCAAUAUGAUACACUAUCUGACACUGAGUAGAGCUUGUUUGCUGCUCUGCUCUUCUUUGGUUUAAGGAACUGAGAAUAUGUACUUUUAACAUUAAACAAAUUACUGCAUCAAAACUAACACAUGUAUGAAUUUUCUUUGCAUAAAGGAAAAGUUAUUAUGGAAUGUAAUAAAUAAUUAAAGAAAAAUA